UCCGGUUUGUCACCGGCAGUCUCGCAUGAGUCCCCAACUAAAUGCUGGCAACAUGCGACAGGGGUUGCGCUCGUUGCGGGACUUAACCCAACAUCUCACGACACGAGCUGACGACGGCCAUGCAGCACCUGUCACUAGGCUCCCGAAGGCACCCCCUGAUUUCUCAAGGGUCCCUAGGAUGUCAAGCCUUGGUAAGGUUCUCCGCGUAUCGUCAAAUUAAACCACAUCAUCCACCGCUUGUGCGGGUCCCCGUCAAUUCCUUUGAGUUUUAGCCUUGCGGCCGUACUUCCCAGGCGGCAUACUUAACGCGUUAGCUUCGACGCACAGGGGGUCGAUACCCCAUACGUCUAGUAUGCAUCGUUUACGGCGUGGACUAC
rnacentral:misc_RNA from 1 species